UCCUUUAGCAAUGGCAAGUAUAAAAUAAUUACUAAUCACUACAAUAACUUCUAGAUAAAAACCAUAAAUACUGUUUCAGUAAGGAUACUACAACAAUAUUUACAAGCUGAUUUUGAUACCUGCUUGAUAACAUUUUAAUUUCGUAGAUCCACCUACUCACCUCUAUAAGUAUGUCAAGAAUCAAAAGAAACUAUUUUUGCUAGAGAAAACAAUAUAUAUAUAGAGAUUAAAGGUUAUCAUUUGAUAAGUUCAAUACUUGGAUGAAGACACUCUGCAUAUAUCUUUUUUAGAAGUAUAUUAAGAUAUAAUUUUUUUCCCCAGGUGUAAAUAAUUGUAAUAAGCUUAAAACCUAUCAAUAUUUAAAUUCAGCACAAAAUUUUCAAAAUAAUAGAAAUUAGAACGUAGCAACUAGUACAAAAGAAUUUAUCUCAGGAAAGAGAAGAUUCUAGUAAGCACAGUUCAACAUUAACAUGAAUCAAAAUUUAGUAACAUAAAAACAAAUAAAAUUGAUUGGUAAAUAUAUUAUUAACACAUGCUUAUAUAUAGCUAGAAAUAUAUGCACACACAUUUGUGUUUUCAUGCUGAUUCGAUCAUUUAAUUUAGAUUAUUUUCAAAAAUAGUUUUAAAUGUAUCACUUUUGAAGAAAGGCUAAGAAUUUCAAUUUGAGAUAUCUUUGAGCAAGCUAGAAAGGAUUUCAUGACAAAACUGAAGUUCUCUUACAAAAAAAAAAAAAAAAUUACAAAGAACAAUUACGGGAUAAAUUCAUAUUCUCCAUGCACAAAUUAAUUGUGAUGGAAACAGUAAUAAAUGCUGAAGGAAUGUGAGGCAAGCUUCUUUUAAAUGCUGACCAUGAAAUAGUUUUGUUCCUUGCUUGAAACUACUUCAUGCUAGAAACGUUUAUGAAAACAGCAUAAACAUUAUUGCAUUUACUUACUCCUUUGCUUAAAAUAUAGGGUCUUUUAUUUCUAAAUAUUUGUAACUUUUUCUAGUUAUCCAUUUCCUGAAAGGAAAUAUUAUCAUAGUAAAUAUAUUUGUUGAAACUCUAAUAAUGCUACAUAGAAUUUUUGAAGAAUAUAUAUGAGUUAGCAAUAUUCAAUUGCAAUGCAGUUAUAUCCUGAUAAAAAAUACUUUUAAAAGUACUCACCUUGUGGCAGACUCAAUAGCUUCUCAUCGUUUCAAGAAUAAGUACAAGGAAUAAUUCCAGAAAUUUCUAUUUUUCACUAAAAGAAAAAAAUAAUUAGCUUAUGCCUAGUCAAAAUUAGUCGUUAAUUCAACAUGUAACGUAAUACUUGUGUAAAAAAGAAAAAGGAAAACCAGACUGUCAUAUCUUCAGAUAAUCCCAUGAUGAAUAUUAAACUUUAUUAACAUGAACAAGAAAUACACCCAUCAACAGUAGUGCUUAUUAAUUACAUAAGAAUCAUUUGCUAAUUUUGUUGUAAGUUACAGCAUUUGAUCUACAGUUUGUGUAUUUGCGUGUGUGUGUGUAUGUAUUAUAAACACACUUUAUGCAUAUGUGUGAUGUAUAGGUAAUUCAAAUUUAUACAUUAUUGGAAAUAUGAAAUAUAGUUUCUUUUUAUAAAUGGAAUUGUAUUACCCAAGUUUUUCACUUACCAGUCCCAACACUAACAAGGGAGCUUCCAAGUGGUCACUUGACCUACUAGGAAUAACAACCAAAUUCCUUCAACUCUUACCCUACCAUCUUAAAACAGUAAUGUAAUCCUGGAUAUAAAAUGACAAGAUAGUCAAGGCUGGAAUGCCUUGUAACUUGUUGAGGGCUGACCAACCUUGGGUUAAAUAACUGGUAUCUGCUGGAAACAUAAAGAAAAAUAAACUUAUAUUGAUUCAUGACUCAAUUAAAACAGUUCAUGUCAAAUCUACAGGAUUGAAAGAUCUUUAAACUAAUGCAUAAAAAUAAUGUAACUGCUAUUCAAAAACAUAGCAACAACAGAUGGGGAAACAGACCAAUUUAAUAGACAAAACAAAAUGAAUUUCAAGUUUAAUGGUGCAUGCAAUAUAUAUAUAUAUAUACACACACCACACACACACAUAUAUAUAUAUAUAUUCAUAUGUGUGUAUACAUGUAUGUGUGUGUAUAAACUUUUAUUUUCUUCCCCAUCAAUUCCUGUAAGAUUUGGCAUUUAUCCCUCCCUACUUUCAGAAACUUCCAUUUGUAGCUAAAGAUUUCAACCAAAAUAGAAUUGCUAGCCCCUUCCCAAAUUUUUAUAUUACUACCACCUCAGUCUUAUGCAUGGAAAUAGGCAAUUUAUGUAUGUAUGAGUGUGAGUUUAUUUUUUACCUUUCAUAACUGGUAAAUAGCGUAUUUGUUGCUACAGUUCAAUUAUAUGUUUUCCUUGCCCAAAGUGUCACUUACCCAAGAGGUAGCCCAAUUAAAUACCAGCCCGCGCCCAGCUUGAUGUCGCUUAACUAUGGUGUUACAAGGAAAAAAAAAUUUAAUAAACUGUAAUAAAAAUGUUCUGGUAUUUAGUGUUACCAUUUGCUACUAAAUAUGGUUGUUACCAUUGCCAUUACAUGUGGUAAGGAAGAACGUGUCUGUUUUUAACAACUUGGAACACAAACAUGGUUGAAAAGGAAGAAAGAAUAUGCAGAAAAAAAUAACAAUAACACCAACAGAAAUGGACUAAAUGCACAUAUAGGCAUUUGUAAUAUUUUUUCCUUUUUUUUUCUUUCUUUCGUCUUUCCCUAAAUUCUGAAUGGCACAAGAUCCAGAUGAUAGGUUGGGUGGAGAAAAUGUGUUAAGUACUAAGUUCUGGUAUGAUUUCUGGAACAAGCCAUAUCCAUUCCAUCUUCCUAUUGUGCUCCUUUCCCAUUUUCAGCAAAUUACAAAAAUAGGAUUAAAAGACUUUUCCUAUUUUAAGUUUUUUUUAAUUAUUUAUUUAUUUAUAUGAACCAUUGCUUUUGAAAAAGAAAACAAAAAUUUGCAGGAAAAUAUUUCUUGCUUCAAUAAAAUAGAAAUGUGUUCUUAAUAAUUUAAGGGAUUAUUUUAAAAUGAGCUUAAAAAAAAUGUUUUUUUUACUUAUCAUCACCAUCGUCAUCAUCAUUAUUAUUAUCAUCAUCAAAAUGAUUUCUAUUAGCUGCAAUUUUGAAUUUUGUUGUAGAUAGAUUAUGGGAUCAUUACAAAGAUUUUUUUAAAUAGUAGCAAAAUUAAGGUAAAUUUAUUGCUUUAUUG